rnacentral:rRNA from 1 species
GAUGAACGCUGGCGGCGUGCUUAACACAUGCAAGUCGAACGAUGAAGCCCAGCUUGCUGGGUGGAUUCGUGGCGAACGGGUGAGUAACACGCGAGUAACCUGCCCUUAACUCUGGGAUAAGCCUGGGAAACUGGGUCUAAUACCGGAUAGGAGCGUCCACCGCAUGGUGGGUGUUGGAAAGAUUUAUCGGUUUUGGAUGGACUCGCGGCCUAUCAGCUUGUUGGUGAGGUAAUGGCUCACCAAGGCGACGACGGGUAGCCGGCCUGAGAGGGUGACCGGCCACACUGGGACUGAGACACGGCCCAGACUCCUACGGGAGGCAGCAGUGGGGAAUAUUGCACAAUGGGCGCAAGCCUGAUGCAGCGACGCCGCGUGAGGGAUGACGGCCUUCGGGUUGUAAACCUCUUUCAGUAGGGAAGAAGCGAGAGUGACGGUACCUGCAGAAGAAGCACCGGCUAACUACGUG